rnacentral:rRNA from 2 species
CCUCCCACCCGUGUUUACUGUACCUUAGUUGCUUCGGCGGGCCCGCCAUUCGUGGCCGCCGGGGGCUCUCAGCCCCGGGCCCGCGCCCGCCGGAGACACCACGAACUCUGUCUGAUCUAGUGAAGUCUGAGUUGAUUGUAUCGCAAUCAGUUAAAACUUUCAACAAUGGAUCUCUUGGUUCCGGCAUCGAUGAAGAACGCAGCGAAAUGCGAUAACUAGUGUGAAUUGCAGAAUUCCGUGAAUCAUCGAGUCUUUGAACGCACAUUGCGCCCCCUGGUAUUCCGGGGGGCAUGCCUGUCCGAGCGUCAUUGCUGCCCAUCAAGCACGGCUUGUGUGUUGGGUCGUCGUCCCCUCUCCGGGGGGGACGGGCCCCAAAGGCAGCGGCGGCACCGCGUCCGAUCCUCGAGCGUAUGGGGCUUUGUCACCCGCUCUGUAGGCCCGGCCGGCGCUUGCCGAACGCAAAUCAAUCUUUUUCCAGGUUGACCUCGGAUCAGGUAGGGAUACCCGCUGAACUUA